UUAUUAACUGCUGGGCCCUUCCUC
rnacentral:piRNA from 1 species